CUGGACUCAGCCUUCUGCCCAGCCCUGCUACAACUCACUGCUUUUUAUUUACCCUUCAAACAGGAAAAGCAACUCUCAGCACAGCUCCUGUACAGAUUUUCUUUACCAAGCCUUAUCUCCGAGCACAGCAGCACUGCGCACACCGCUGCAGCCACACUGCACAGUGCUUCUCCUUGCUCAGGGUGACGCGGGAUCAGUGACAGCCCCUCACUGUGCUCCCUCAGCAUGCGGGUGACAGGCGUGAUUCGGCUCCUGGUGCUGCUGGCCACGCUGCUGGGCUCCUGGUUCAUCGUGCAGACAUACUUUGAGCACAGUGGGAUAACCAUCAGCCUGCGGAGCUGGUUGGGUGCCACCAGCAAGCCCAAGAGCAGCCCACCGCAGCCCCGCCACAAGUGUGAGAACAAGAAGGGCUGCCCCAUUGACCACUUCGCCUUCCGGAUCAUCAGCGGUGCUGCCAACGUGGUGGGUCCCUCCAUCUGCUUCGAGGACACGAUCCUCAUGAGCACUGUGAAGAGCAACAUUGGCAGAGGGCUGAACAUUGCGCUGGUGAACGGAAAGAACGGGCAGCUCCUGAAGGUGGCAUCCUUCGACAUGUACUCAGGAGAUGUUACACAGCUGGAGACCUUCCUCCAAGAGAUCAAGGAUGGCACCAUCAUUCUGGCAGCCACUUAUGACGACGCUGCCACAAAGAUGAACAAAAAAGUACGGGCACUUUUUUCAGCUCUGGGCAGCAGACACGUGAACGAGCUGGGCUUUCGAGACAACUGGGUCUUCUUAGGGGCGAAGGGGCUGAAGGGCAAGAGCCCCUUUGAGGAGCACAUCAAAAAUGACCAGAAAACAAAUAAAUAUGACGGCUGGCCCGAGCUGCUGGAGAUGGAGGGCUGUGCCCCCAGGAAGCAAGAUUAGCAGGGACACUGGCAGCACACCUGCAUGGAGCCCCAGCCAGGUCUAAGGGGAUGCCAACCCCCGCAGACUGACCCACACCCCCAGCCUGGUCACACAAGCCCAGUGGUGGCUGUUGGCUCCCAGGGAUCAGCAUUCUGGUGUGGGGACACUCGGUGCUCAGAGCAGCUGCAGGCCUGGCAUUGCCAACCCCUCUGCCACCAGCUGGGUUUCCCCAUCACCCAUCCACUGUCACAGCAACAUACAUGGCUGUCCCCUGCCCACAGACAUGGGGAUGCUCUGGCCCCAGUGGUCUUCCACUGCCAUCACAGAGGAAUUCCCUGUUAGCUGUAGUAUUUUAUCCAAGCUUAUCCUCCUGCACUUAGUGUGCACCUGACCACACCGUGGGAAGCCUCUGCCAUACAUCGAUCCCUAAAUCUGCUGCUGCAGCAGCCGUUAAUCCCGGGCGCUGAAUCACCCACACGGCAGCAGCAGUGAGCACCAGCACAGCGCAGCAGACACAACAGCCCUCGCGCCACACACCCCACUGCACCGCCAGCAGAAAUAUGCCAACUAUUUUAAGCCCCCUCAGAGGAUCUGAAUUCGCUUGUAAGCCAAACUGAAAACAGCCUGGGACCCGUAAAGGCUGUUGCAAAGGGGAAAGCAGCACCUAGUAGCAGCUACAGUGGGGAAAACAACCAACCCUGCUUGCAAUGCGUUGUUUUGGCUUUACACCAGAAGCCUUUCUAAAGGAAAUGUAUGUCUCAGCAUGCUAAAGGCAGCUAUAAAGAGCACUGAGCCCAUCACUGAGUGUUAGAGGUACACGCAGUUUGGGAACAGUAGGGAGAGCUGAAGUGCAGCUCCUGUGUGACCUCACUGUGCAGCCAGAGCUCCAAAGAGCCCUUCCUCCCCAACUUACUGCAGCCUGAAAAAUAAAUCAAAAAUCCCACAGUGUUCUGGGAGUCAUAAAUACGGC